ACUCCUACGGGAGGCAGCAGUAGGGAAUCUUCCACAAUGGGCGAAAGCCUGAUGGAGCAACGCCGCGUGGGUGAAGAAGGUCUUCGGAUCGUAAAACCCUGUUGUUAGAGAAGAAAGUGCGUGAGAGUAACUGUUCACGUUCGACGGUAUCUAACCAGAAGCCACGGCUAACUACGUGCCAGCAGCCGCGGUAAUACGUAGGUGGCAAGCGUUAUCCGGAUUUAUUGGGCGUAAAGGGAACGCAGGCGGUCUUUAAGUCUGAUGUGAAAGCCUUCGGCUUAACCGGAGUAGUGCAUUGGAAACUGGGAGACUUGAGUGCAGAAGAGGAGAGUGGAACUCCAUGUGUAGCGGUGAAAUGCGUAGAUAUAUGGAAGAACACCAGUGGCGAAAGCGGCUCUCUGGUCUGUAACUGACGCUGAGGUUCGAAAGCGUGGGUAGCAAACAGGAUUAGAUACCCCUGGUAGGAUAGCG
rnacentral:rRNA from 1 species